CUUUUUGAAAAACUAAUUCGAUUAGUAUGAUAUAAUGAGAUGGCAUAGACUCAUUUCUCCCCGCACAUCCUUGCUUCAUUGUAUAGUCAUUGCUGCUUCCGGUGAGCUUCAACUGUGGUGAAGAAAGACACCCACAUACCUAACAAUGACAUAAGAGAGAAAGAAAAAAAUGCAUUUAGCAAAGGUACAAGCAACAUGUUACAUGAUCACUGAGUAAGAAGCAGAUGUGUUAAAGUGUAAAAAGGAAGCUGUGAAAGAGAUAUCAAAAAUAGGAGGAAGAGAGAGAGAGAAAAUGAAAGAAGAUGUGUAAUCCUGGGCUCUAGCUACAUGGCCUCUGAUGCGGUGAACUGCAGACAGAGCAGUGUGGCAGCUGAAUGACAAACACAGCAAAUUGGAACAACAUAAACCCUCCGUAACUUUAACAUCAUAGCUGAUUAAGUUUUCUGGCAUGUAAAAUGCAUCCACUGUGAGAAAUUCUGUAUCUCAGACAUGACUCACUGUUUAGCAUGUUUAUACCAUUAGGAAAUACUAAAGAUGUUUCCUCAAGCGUAUGAUGGUAUUAUAAGAGCACAUGUAAGAGCACUUAUUUUGAUAGUAAAGAGUGGCUACCAGUAGCUUAGGUUUGCCACAAAAAUCUCUAUAUUCAAUCUUUAAAAUAAGUGAUUAUAAAAUAAAUAUCUAGCAGUGAAAACAGAAUUAACUACCCUAAGAAGACUAUCUGUAAGGGUCACAGGCUCUUGGUCUAGUUGAUGUCAAGCAGUACACACAAGAGCAAGACUAUGCAUUUUGCAUAAUCACUAGACAUAACAGAGUGAGUAGAAUAUAUGAUAAUUUGGCUCUAAAAGAAGAGAUUUAUCAACAUUUUUGGAAUCAGCAACUUUGAAUUUAUGGGAAAUGAGGAGAAUAUAAAAAGACAUGAGUAAACAGAAUGCUUAGUAAUUUGAGAAGAAAUUGAAAGAGCAAAUUAGAAUAUUGCAAAACAAACACAGCAGCCCUAAAGGGAAGUCCCCAAAACAAAAACUUUGUUCCAUCCUAGAUAAAGAUAGCAAAGGAUUUCUAGGAAUGGGAUUGCCAUGUCUUAGAAUGUGUGCUUCACUUCAUAAGAAACUGAUGGGCUCAUACCUGUAAUCCCAUCACUUUGGGAGGCUAAGGCAGGAGAAUUGCUUCAGCCCAGGAGUUCAAGACCAGCCUAGGCAACAUUGUGAAAUCCCAUCUACACACACACACACACACACACACACACACACACACAAAAUUAGCCAGGCAUGGUUGCACACACCUAUAGUCCCAGCUACUCUGGCAGAAGGCUAAGGUGGGAGGAUCACCUGAGCCAGGGAGGUCGAGGUUGCAGUGAGCAGUGAUUGUGCCACUGCACUCCAGCCUGGGUGACAGAGGAAGACCCUAUCUCAAAAACAAAACAGAAUGAAACAAAAAACUGAAACUGUUUUCUAAAGUGGCUGAACCAUUUUGUACCCCUACUAGCAAUGUAUGAGAGCUCUGUUCAUUCUGUAUCUUCACAGUGCUUGGUAUUUUUAAGAUUUUAAAAAUUUAUCCAUUCUAACAUGUGUGAAGUAUAUUUAAUAUUUUGAAUAUUAUAUUUAUAACAUAAAUCUGGGCUAUUUUGGAAAUAAUACAAGAUAAAGUCAAAAUGGUUUCUUCUUUACAAUCUCACAAUCACAGUCUUGUUGGAAAUAGAAAAUCCAUGGCAUUUGUUCAGUGGUAUUAAUUGGAAACAUAAAGGAACUCUCAUUUUUACCCAGAAGGUUAUUGAUAUAUUUGUUCUUCAUUUUCUCAAAAUUAAGAGAAAUGUUAAUCUCUCCUUUUAUCAUAAGUUUAGGCAAAGCAAAUCACAAUUCUUCCCACAUGAUGCUAAAUAAGUCAUAUGCAGGAGGAACUUUCUGCUCUAGCCACAUUCCCUGGACACAUUUUUAUUUAUAGCUGCAAUUUUAAGUCCUAGUAGAUAGAGAUGGCAGCAAAUGUGUGUUGCGUAUGUUAAAGGGCACGUAUCAUCUCAUCACUUGUGGUAGACUGAGUUAUUGGACACAAUCCUUCAUGCCUCCCUUUAUCUACAUCCUUUACCUUAUACUUUCUGCCCAUAAAAGGCCAAGUGUACUCUCCCAUCUUUUGAAUUUGACUUAUCUAUGUAAUUUUCUUUGGCCAAUAUGUUAUUUCUAGUUGUGAUGCAAGUGGAGGCUUGACAUGAGCUUGCACAGUGGGUCUUGCUCUCUUGUACUUUUUCCAUUUUCAUGAGAAGAAUAUCCCAAUUAUCCUGAUGGUCCCAGAGUCAAGAUAAGAGACAUAGAAAUGACCCACUCCCAUGACUGCAGCCUGAAGCCCAGCUUCCUUGUCCACCUAGUACAUUAGUAGGGAAAAAUCAAUGCUCAUCAUCAUAUGCCACUGAGAUUUUGAGGUUGUUUGUUAUGCAGCACUAACAGACAGGUAACAGAUUCCACAUCUGUAUAUGAUAUAAAAAAUAGAUUGACUAUGAAAACUGAUGAGGCCUUUAGAAACAACAUGAUGAAAUAAAACUAUGAUUGU